UACGUAGGCAGCAAGCGUUGUUCGGAAUUACUGGGCGUAAAGAGUGUGUAGGCGGUGCUCUAAGUCUGUUGUGAAAUCUCCCGGCUUAACUGGGAGGGUGCGGCGGAAACUGCCUGGCUAGAGUGCGGAAGAGGAGAGUGGAAUUCCCGGUGUAGCGGUGAAAUGCGUAGAGAUGUGGAGGAACACCGAUGGCGAAGGCAGCCCCCUGGGUCAACACUGACGCUCAUGCACGAAAGCGUGGGGAGCAAACAGG
rnacentral:rRNA from 1 species